rnacentral:snRNA from 1 species
AUUUUGCUUACUUCAGCAAGAUAUACACUGAAAUUGGAAUGAUGCAGGAAAAAAUAACCUGGAACCUGAGCAGAGAUGACAUGAAAAUUUGCAAAGCAUUUCAUCCUUGU